CACUAAAACUAGAAACCGCUGAAGGGGACAGUGAGGGUGAUCAGGCAGACAGCUGUGCACACAGCUGGCACAAAUCAGGAGUAAUGAGCAGGAACUCGAUAUUAAACAAACACGACUGAUUUCACGAGGAGACAAAAGGACGACACACAGAAAGUAAAAUAACUAAAUGGAAAGAUAACAUACACGUGACCAGACUAGAUACAAGGAAACUUAAAUGUCUUUAAUGUCAGUAAAAAUGUAAAAUCUGCUCUUUCUUCUGUCAGACGCCGACAGCAGCUCCACAAACAGCUGGAAGCUCAAGAACCGAACACGACUCUGGAUUUGUUUGUCUGACGGGGCACCCCGGGUGUCGACGGCACCAGACCAGCACCCAAAGGAGACCCCGGCAGCCCAGGGACACUGGGUCGUAAUAGAAGAAGAGCUCCCGGUGGUGAGAAGGUCUGUUACUGUGCACAGAUAUCUGACUCACCUGGUGAGAGAGGAACCCGAGAACCUCCCAGGUGCUGCUGGGCCACAGGGCCAACCAGGAGAUCCAGGUGUAAUUCUGGAUCACAGGGACCCAGAGCAAUGCUGGUAGGGAAUUUAACGUCUCAUUUAAUGGUUUUUCUUUAUUUUCACAACUAUUUACAUUGUAGAUUCUCAUCAAAAAUACGA